AGCAGCCGCGGUAAUUCCAGCUCCAAUAGCGUAUAUUAAAGUUGUUGCAGUUAAAAGCUCGUAGUUGAAUUUCGGGGUUAGUAGAUUGGUCAUGCCUCUGGUAUGUACUGGUUUCACUGAUUCCUCCUUCCUGAUGAACCGUAAUGCCAUUUAUUUGGUGUUGUGGGGAAUUUGGACUGUUACUUUGAAAAAUUAGAGUGUUAAAGCAAGCUAACGCUUGAAUACAUUAGCAUGGAAUAAUGAAAUAGGACGUUCGAUCCUAUUUUGUUGGUUUCUAGGAUUGACGUAAUGAUUAAUAGGGAUAGUUGGGGGCAUUAGUAUUCAAUUGUCAGAGGUGAAAUUCUUGGAUUUAUUGAAGACUAACUACUGCGAAAGCAUUUGCCAAGGAUGUUUUCAUUAAUCAAGAACGAAGUUAGGGGAUCGAAGACGAUCAGAUACCGUCGUAGUCUUAACCAUAAAACUAUGCCGACUAGGGAUCGGAUGAUGUUGAUUUUUUAAUGACUCAUUUGGGCGCCUUACG
rnacentral:rRNA from 1 species